CCUGUGGAAGCGGAAGUGCCGGGAAAUUUGCACCAGUUUCGUUUCCACUUUAUUGCUCUCUUGAAAUUUGGACUCAGAUUUACUUCUGAGAUUUACUUCAGGUUUACUUCUCUGUCGUGAGGUUUGUGCAAUUUUCCCUGUUUUUCUGUUCUGCCUUGCAACUUGUGUGGGCGCUGGGCUUGAGCGCAGCAGUUGCAAUGACUACUGCUCAUUUCCUCUAUUAACAUUUGGCCUACUUUGGCAAAGAAAGGGUUUGCCUUCCGUAAGGAAGACAACAUAUAUACCUGCCCAGCUGCUAAGAUCUGGAGCAGAGGUCCUUCUUCCGGAGCCCUCUUUGAGGGAGAGCAGAAGCGUGGCUAUCUGGAGAGGGGGCUUCUCUGCCGUGACCUGUGGAAUGGGCUCUUAAGAAAGGUGUGGCUGGUGCCAAUGCUUUUUUUCAUUUAGGCCCUAGGCCAAAAACUUUUUAUUUUCCCAGGAUUUUAAAUGUUACUAUUGUUUGUAACAUUGAUGAUAUAUAUUAUUGUGAAGCUGUGUCUCAUUUAUGUUAUCACCGCCCUGAGAAACUGUGAAGGGCAGGAUACAAAAAUUUAAAACAAACAUCUUGCAGUAGAAGCCAGCAGCAAAAUGCUUCCGGAACCCAUGUUGCUUCUUCCCAGUGGAGGCACAGUCAGUUGAGCAAGGCAUUUUGCUGCAUGGCCCCAAGCACCUUUGGAAGAGAGGUAACCGGGCAGGGGGGACAGCUUACGAUCGGGGUUGUCUGGGAAAAGAAGCCUGAGAUAUUUUUCCUAACAUUUAGGACUAUGUUUGAGGAUCAAACUUCAGAGAUGCUUGCCUUUUAAACACAAGCUGGAAAUCUACAUAUCAGAGGGAGCGCAUUCCACAGAGGAGGACAUUAACAAGCAAAUCAAUGAUAAGGAACGUGUAGCUGCUGCAAUGGAGAAUCCCAAUUUGCGGGAGAUUGUGGAGCAGUGUGUCCUGGAGGCUGACUAGCUGCUGUGACGGCCUCCAACUCGGGAUUCACCUGGCACGUUUGAAUUACCAUCUUGGCAAAAAUACAGAGGCCUUGACUACCAGGGAGAUCUUUGUCGCGUCUACAUAUUUUAAAAGAAUAUUUUUAUAGAAAUGCAUUUAAUUACAAAGAGAGUAGACCAUGUAUAGUACCAUGUGUGCUAUAAAAAGUAAUCUUGAUUGAAAAUUGAUUUUAUAUGAAAUUUACGAACCAGUCUGUUGCUGUCUCAUGAAUAUGCCUUGUGCUUUUAAAAUGGGAUGUUGAAUUAGAUUUCCCACUUCAGAUUGGUGGGGUGUUUUUGAAUUGCUGCAGUGUGAAAAAUGAAUAAAAUAAAGAGUUCUUGAAUCUGGA